rnacentral:rRNA from 1 species
AACGAACGCUAGCGGCAGGCUUAACACAUGCAAGUCGAACGAGAAAUUUACCUUCGGGAAAAUGGACAGUGGCAGACGGGUGAGUAACGCGUGGGAACCUACCUGAUGGUACGGAAUAACUCAGGGGAAACUUGAGCUAAUACCGUAUGUGCCUUCGGGGGAAAGAUUUAUCGCCAUCAGAUGGGCCCGCGUCAGAUUAGCUAGUUGGUGAGGUAACGGCUCACCAAGGCGACGAUCUGUAGCUGGUCUGAGAGGAUGAUCAGCCACACUGGGACUGAGACACGGCCCAGACUCCUACGGGAGGCAGCAGUGGGGAAUAUUGCACAAUGGGCGCAAGCCUGAUGCAGCCAUGCCGCGUGAGUGAUGAAGGCCUUAGGGUUGUAAAGCUCUUUCACCGAUGAAGAUAAUGACGGUAAUCGGAGAAGAAGCCCCGGCUAACUUCGUG